rnacentral:rRNA from 1 species
GAUGAACGCUGGCGGUAUGCUUAACACAUGCAAGUCGAACGGACUCUUCGGAGUUAGUGGCGGACGGGUGAGGAACGCGUGAGAAUCUGGCUUUGGGUUCGGGACAACCACUGGAAACGUUGGCUAAUACCGGAUGUGCCGAGAGGUAAAAGAGAAAUUGCCUGAAGAUGAGCUCGCGUCUGAUUAGCUAGUUGGUGAGUUAAAGGCUCACCAAGGCAGCGAUCAGUAGCUGGUCUGAGAGGAUGACCAGCCACACUGGGACUGAGACACGGCAGAGACUCCUGCGAGAGACAGCAGUGGAGAAUUUUCCGAAGUGGGCGAAAGUCUGACGGAGCAAUACCGCGUGAGAGAAGAAGGCUCUUGGGUUGUAAACCUCUUUUCUUAGGGAAGAACAAAAUGACGGUACCUAAGGAAUCAGCAUCGGCUAACUACGUG